ACGGGGGGGCAAGCGUUGUUCGGAAUUACUGGGCGUAAAGGGCUCGUAGGCGGCCAACUAAGUCGGACGUGAAAUCCCCAGGCUCAACCUGGGAACUGCGUCCGAUACUGGAUGGCUUGAAUUCGGGAGAGGGAUGCAGAAUUCCAGGUGUAGCGGUGAAAUGCGUAGAUAUCUGGAGGAACACCGGUGGCGAAGGCGGCGUUCUGGACUGCAACUGACACUGAGGCACGAAAGCGUGGGGAGCAAACAGGA
rnacentral:rRNA from 1 species